GGACCUUAAAACUGUACUUUGAUUAAUAGACAAGCAGACGGAGCGGAGAGUUAGCGUUCACUCGCAGGCAAGCACACGCACAAGAACAGUCAAGCACACACACACACAUAAGAGAAGAGUCAAAUCCCGUCGUCAAGCACACACACACACAUAAGAGAAGAGUCAAAUCCCGUCGAAGAAGGCCUGGAACGAGGACCGUGAGCUCGGCGGACGUGGAAAUAUAUAGUCAAGAUUUUUAACUACACGCAGUCCGGUUGAUACAUAGUCCGGGCUACGACCUAUAAUAUCGAGAACCCUUCACGUUCCGAACGGACAAUUUGAAAGGACAAAGAGAUCAAUCACAUGUUUGUAUGCGUAAGUGUAUUUGUACGGUCGUUGGGUAGAACGAUAUGAGCACGAACAUGAACAAAUAAAAGAACAAACCUUUUACCAAAGAAUAGGAGGAUUGUUGAAAAGAGACAGCGAUGUCGCGGGGCCGGCAAGUAACGGUGGUAGGACCCGGCAAGUUGUACUGUCACGGUUCGGCAAGCUACGGGGUCGAGUCCUCCGGCGACGACUGAGGGCACGUCCGGCGGUUACGGGGACACGUUCCAAGUUUCCGGUACCUUAAGACGCUGGUAAACUCGACCCGCUGCCUGGAUAUGUUGUAGGUUGUACAGGAGCAUGAUGUGGUUCGUAUUGGUGUUCUUGCGAGCACGGUGUCGUCGCGGGUCCGGCAAGUGGUAGCCGUGGUAUCAGGCAAGUGCCGACUGAUAGCUCCGGCAAGUGGCGGUUGUGGACUCCGGCAAGCAGCUACCUUGUUACUCCGACGUAAGAGGAGGUCGUGGUCCGGUCACGAUACCACUUGUAAGUUCCGUUGUUUCGUGUGGUGUCCAGCGUCACGACGGCGGCUGGUGUACACACGUACGCACGCUAACCACGCAUACACGAAAUCCAUAUUGACGACGUCGUGAAGUCUUUAUACUUGUUUGUUUCGAGUUUCGUUUCACGAUAAUUGACCCAGAAGGACCUCGGUUCUAGGUUGCGCACUCUCUCUUCCCCAGCAACGACAUUAUCGCUGUUGGCUGUGUGAUAUCGGCCGCAACUUGGACUGGGGCUGGAGAUGGCACUAUCUCUUUGUCAAAAGAGGGUUGCUGCGUCCGCCGAUGGGGCAUGAAAGUGGAGGCAGGCAGCGGCGGCAGGCGUGUUGAGAACUACGGCCUCAGGUGUGACAUAGCUACGCGGCGAUAGCGAGACGGCAGCGCACGUCCUUCAAGUUGCGGUGUUGGGGCCGGCAAAUUAGAACGACGGCACCCGCACGGGGCGAGGUUGAGGUAGCGGACACGAAGUGAUCACUUUGUCAUGCUGGACUCCUUGGUGCCCCCCAACUCCUGCAGGUUGAGCCGUCAGGUUGAGCCGCAAGAAGCACAGUAGCAAUCGGGGUACAAACGACCGUUCUGGUGGCACGAAGAGGCGACCGUAGCUGUCCUUCUGCUCAGGGAGCAGGCCAUGCAGGUCCAACCAUAGCUACGAGGCCGGUUGAGGAAACUAGACGAGCCUACACCUUUUUGAUCUACGUUGUAAAUACCUUUUUUUCUCUACCUAAAUAUCCUUCUACCUCGUGACCUUGCCUCUUCUGAGUCAAGUGUUUUGUUAGACUUUUUCAUCGUCCUUGUCCGUUGUCAAACGUUUUUUUUACUUCCAUGUUUAUUUCAAGUAUUUUUACGAUACUUUAAGUACAUGUAGCAGACAUCACACAACGCACUACACCGUUAUCACGCACGACAUCACACAACCACCUUUGACUUAACUUCCUAGAAGUUAUAUACUUGGUGUUCUCUCCACGUAGGACAUGUAGCAGAGUUCUAGGAAGUACAAUUAAAUAGGAAGUCAGGUUUUUAUGUACUUAGUGUUUCUGUCGACUACAACGAUAAAGAAAACCAACUACGAGUAAGUUUACAGGUACGAUGAAUACACGAUUUAAACUACGAGAUAUCAACGAAAAGCUUUA
rnacentral:rRNA from 1 species